rnacentral:miRNA from 1 species
GCAGUGAUGUUAGUUGUUGU